rnacentral:lncRNA from 1 species
AGCAUCUAAACAGACCAGAUAGAAUGCAGGACAACUCAACACUAUACAAUGUAUUUACCUGUAGAAAUGGAUACAUUUUCGAUCUUUGCAACGUUACCAGUUAUUCAUUCAUAUCAACAUUAUGGCCAUUACAAGUCACAAAACUACAGAGUUACAAAAAAUUAAGUUGUGAGCCACAACAUCAACCGGUGCAUCCUUCGCCAAUAAGGUCUUUCUUUCGCAACGGAAAAUGAUCUUCCUACGAAUUCUAUGUCAUA